rnacentral:lncRNA from 1 species
CCGCCCGCUCGCACGCAUGCGCAGCGCCACGUGGAGCGCCCGUCCCCGCGGGUACCGGCGGUGCGGUGCGGUUCCGCCGUGCGCUGCGGGAAUGAGGGCGGCCGUGGGGGGCGGAGAGCUCCGCUGUGCUGCGUCAAUCAGAUAGAGAGCAGGACGCGAAAUGGCCGCCGGGAGAGCCGAAGUGCUGAGAGUAAUCUGAGGAGCAGAAGAUCCUACUGUGAUAAUAAAGAUCAGUGCAAGCCAUCUGUACUGGUAGCUUUGUGUGAGCUGUGCAGACCCAACAGCUGAAUGCAGAGGGGACAUCACCCUUAAAUACACCAUCUAACUAUAACUCUACUUAAAUAACCAUUCCCAAAAUACAAGAGGAGCUCAGACCUCAGUACAGAAGCACCAGCAGCUUUGCUAACAAAGCUACUGCCUGCUUACAGCUGCAACCACACGUUGUGGACAGCAGAGAUGCAUCUUCUUUGCUAUCCAGACAGAGGACCAGAGCCAGCCUGGAGGAGACUUCAUGGUUACAGCAGCCUGCUAUCAGCACACAGAGCAGAGCUUCACUGGGCAGAGGAGUCUGCAUGAUGCCACUUGCUGCACUGUGUCACUGCCACUACACCAGGCUGGACAGAAACCAUUAGCCAAAGUGUGUCCCACAAUGUGUGGUUUAGCACAUCUGCAGCCCAGGGCCCAUGGAUUAUGACUUUCAUUUUGAGGUAUAAUCUGCACUUUUUGCAGUUCUCCUCCAGCUUGGCUCUGUUUUCCAUCACUCUGCACCAACCCCACCUGCAUUAGACUGGCUGCCACCCCUGCCAGCAACUGCACGUGGUUGAAGCAUGGUUGAAGGAGGGAGGGUGUCAGCAUGGGUGCCCCCUCCACACUGCCACAGUUUCUUGGAUAAGCUUUGCAUACAGAGAGAAGGCUUUGAACCCACAAACAUUAGCUGAAACAGAAUGGAAGCAUCCAUAGGAUGGGGACAUCUUCCUUUGCACGUCUCUGCGCUUGUUUCUAUUGCAUGGAACACUUUGUGCCCCACAGUCCAACCUUCAGCAUAGAGCAGCAAUAAGCACAUGUGAUCAAGCAGAGCCUGAAGAGACCACGGUCCCAGAGAGGGCAGAAAUGCAGAGGAAAACUGUAAGCAGCUUGGACAGGACAUCGAUUCUGUAUGAGUGGUUAACCCCACCUGCAGCCAAACUGAACCCCAAUUGUAAAAACCCCACUCAAAAGUUGAACUUACAGACAUGUAGGACCGAGUUCCCACAAAAGAGUUUGCCAUGGAGUCAAUGAGUUGACCACUGACCCCAAAAUCACACAGCUUAAUCUCUCCUCGAGAGUUAACCAGGAUGUUGGAAGGCUUCACAUCUGACAACAGUGAGAGAGAAGAGUGUCAGCAUGGCUCUGGGUAAAACACAGGGCUCCUCCAGCACAGCAAGCUACUGUUAGCUUCCUCCUCUCACCUCUGUGCAUGAUUUGGUGCUUCUCUCUCAGAUAGGCCAAACCUCUCAGAACCUAAAAGGAAGCCAAAGACGGGGUAAGAACUCAGAAGCAAAGUGCUCUGCCUUCAGUAAGGCCCAUUGCAUAGACUUCAGUGCUGCCACACCGCAGCUCUGUGAGGAAAGCCUCUCUGUGGUGACUAAGCACUUCAAGUGUUGCAAUUGAUCACCGUGGAUGGGAGUGAGCAAUGGCCACUGUUUAGAUUCAGUCAGAGAGCAAAAACCAACCCCUUAUGGUGACAAUCACAAGCCUUGGGUUUAUUGCCCAAGGAAGCGACCACCAAACAGUGCAACACCAGGGGUGGGAGCUAUGGAGUGUGCUCAGGGAUCUGCUUCCCUGCUCCCAUCCACCACCACCUCCUGCCCAACUUCAGGAUGGGAAAGCACAUAUGGAGAAACGAAGCAACUCACCGCUAUGCUGACUUUCCCCAGUAUUUCCUCGGGGAUUCUUUUGGCUUCUUUCAACACUUGAUCCAGGGAGCCACCAUCCUGCAAGUAAGAAAAGCACUGAGGUUAUCAGCACACCAAUGGCAGCAGAGUGUUCGGCCAUACAGACGAACACAUCCAUAUUGGACCAGUGCUGUAAGAGUGGUACGCAGCAUCCCAGCUCAGUGGACUGCAGUCCAUCAAUAUCAAGCACACUCCAGCAGCAGGAAAAGAUCUCUGGCAAUCAGAGCUCAAGCUUCACAUUGAGAACUCCUUUAAUCCUAUCAGCUCUGUUUCUUGCUGUUAGCUUAUAAGCUUCUUUUCCCAGCAGCAGUAAACACAAAGAUGAGGCUGCCAGCAUCAUUGUGGAGCAAUGACAACACUUCUGAUAGAGACAAGAGGAGACGUGCAUUACACUUGACAGCAAGCUCUGUAGAGUGGUGGGUUUACAGCAUUUCUGUUUGGCCACCCCCUAAACUUCUGCUUCCUAAAGUCAAUGCCUGUCAUUUAGAUGCUUAAGUAGGAGCAUGGAGAUUCAAACCCCAGCUCAGCAGCCUUGCUGAACACCGAGCAGUCAGAGCAAGGAGCCACUGCACAGCCAGCAAUGAGUGGCAGCACACUAAGCCACCUCACCUGGGUGUCAUUCUCAUUACAGACCCAGUUGGGAACACAGUACUGGGAGCAGCUGUUUGGAGAAGGAUGGGGGGGGAAAGGAUGUGGACUCACCAUGUGCUCCAUGCAGAUGGAAAUCUCUCCAUCGCUGUAGAAGGCCCCAUAGAAACCCACAAUGUAUGGGGAAUUACACUCAUGCAGCACCUGCAGCUCUCGGAUAAUCUGAUUCCUGAUGGCUGGUUUGAUUUCUAGAUGAAUCAGCUGACAAGAAAAGUUACUGUUAACAAAAAAACAACCUUACAGGAACCGCAGGAACAAGUGUGAGCAUUGGGAAGAAAGGAAAACGUUUCCAUAACUAAGGAUAAAGAGCCAAGUGGAGUGCUGUGCAGUCUGUUAGCAAGUGCAGCAACUGCCAGCCUGUGUAACACACCGAGAUCACCCAGGACACAGAAUGGAAAGGCAAGGCAGAAGUUGGAUGCAGAUCUGACUCAGCAACGUGAACAUUUUCACAAGCUCUGUAGGUGUUGUAAGAACAGGUGCCCUCAUAUCAAGGAAACGACGUGAAGUGAAAAUACACUCACAUGCUUAUGCAUGUGAAAGAGUAAAUGCCUUAUUCCUUGGGCUCCACAUAGAGUCAGCUAACACAGCUGUGGGAAGGAAAGCCAUGAAGUCUAGCAAAUGCCAUGGCAGGUUAGAAAGCAGCAGCUGUUACUAUGAGCUCUAGGACACCCAGGCCCUGCUCUCUGCAAGGAACACAGCAGUGUUGCCCAACACUGCAGCUUGCCUUGGCUCCAGUUUUUAAACACAGCACUCCCAACAGUCUCAAAACCAUCUGAUUACACCUAGCCUACCCAAAAUAAUGCCACAGUGGAAGACCCACAGAGCUCCAUCCAAGCAGAGCCUCCCGGAGAACCUAUUAGCUCAUGAUGAACACAAACUCAUCCCCACAGCAGGUGAGAAUAGAGCCUUCCAAGGAAGCUGCCCUAUAUAUUAGCAAUUGCACUGCUCUCACUGAGCACUGCCUUUUCUAAUAGGCAGACAAAGCACCUCCUAUUUCUCUAUUACAAGACACUGCAGUAAAAGACAUCUCCCAUAAGCCGAUCUCAGAGAGGAACAGCUGUCAGGACAGGUUCACAAGGCUGCUCGGAACUAUUAAGCAGAUGGCAGGGGAUGUGUGCAUGCCAAACUCAGGUGUGUGCAGGCCAGCCGUGCUUCUCCACCUGCCACACCGAGCCCUCGUUACCACCACCCUCAGAAAACCCAUUUCCUGGUGAAAGAACAAAUUCACGUUCUCACACCAGGCAUUGCAAAACCCUGUGACCUGUUGUGAUGCAGACUUCCCCUCUCAGGAGGUGACCCACAGCAAGGCAGAGCAGCCAGAAAGCUCAUAGAAGGGGAAGAGGCACUGUGCAGAGCCCAGCUUUGUGCACUGGUGCACACUCAGAUGCUUUGCAUGCAGGUGGAGCAGCUCAGACAGCCCGGUUGGACCUCUGCUCUCCAGCAAGGCACCUCCUGCCCCCUUACCUUCCGUGCCAUAAUGAGCCCUGAGGGUUUGUGUUGCACUUUGGUGACCACACCACCGUUGCCAGCCCCCAGCUCGGAGAUCCUCUCAAAGUCAUCGUCCUUCAGCUCUCCCACUUUGGCUUUCUGAGUGAGGAAAGCUUCCAAGCGCUUCUUCUGCUGCUCAUCCAGCUCCAGCUCCUCCAGCUUCUUCUGAAGGUCCACCAGGUUGGCCUCUGCGGAACCGCCGGGCCCGGGUCCCUCGGCGGGGCUGGGAGUGAUGGUGAGGGCCGGCAGCACCGGCUUCCUCUUGGCCGGCAUGGCCGGGCCGCGCCGCGCCUGCGGGCCGAGCGGGGCGGGG